rnacentral:rRNA from 1 species
GACGUAGGGGCCAAGCGUUGUCCGGAUUUAUUGGGCGUAAAGAGCUCGUAGGCGGUUCGGUAAGUCAGCUGUGAAAUCUCCACGCUCAACGUGGAGGGGUCAGCUGAUACUGCCGUGACUUGAGUCUGGUAGGGAGUGCGGAAUUCCCGGUGUGAGCGGUGAAAUGCGCAGAUAUCGGGAGGACACCAGUGGCGAAGGCGGCACUCUGGGCCAGUACUGACGCUGAGGAGCGAAAGCGUGGGGAGCGAACAGG